rnacentral:rRNA from 1 species
UGAGUACGAGAUGCUACGGCAUCGAAGCAGUCUAUGUCAUACUUCCAAGAAAAGCUUGCACUGUCAGAAACAGAUAAUGCCUGUACCAUAACCGACACAGGUGGGUAGGUAGAGUAUACUAAGGGGCGCGAGAUAACUCUCUCUAAGGAACUCGGCAAAAUGACUCCGUAACUUCGGGAGAAGGAGUGCCUUAUUUUUAAGGUUGCAAUAACAAGAUCCAAGCAACUGUUUACCAAAAACACAGGUCUCCGCUAAGUCGUAAGACGAUGUAUGGGGGCUGACGCCUGCCCAGUGCCAGAAGGUUAAAGAAGUCGGUUAGCAUUCGCGAAGCUGGUAACUGAAGCCCUGGUGAACGGCGGCCGUAACAAUAACGGUCCUAAGGUAGCGAAAUUCCUUGUCGGGUAAGUUCCGACCCGCACGAAAGGCGUAAUGAUUUGGAUACUGUCUCGGAGAGGGGCUCGGUGAAAUAGACUUGUCUGUGAAGAUGCGGACUACCUGCACCUGGACAGAAAGACCCUAUGAAGCUUUACUGUAACUUGAAAUUGAAAUUGGACUUUAUUCGCGCAGUAUAGGUGGGAGGCGUUGAAAAUAUUCUUGCGGGAAUAUUGGAGCCAUCAGUGAGAUACCACUCUUGUAAUGUUAGAUUUCUAACUUUAUAUCAUUAUCUGGUUAAAGAACAGUUUCAGGCGGGCAGUUUGACUGGGGCGGUCGCCUCCCAAAUGGUAACGGAGGCGCACAAAGGUUUCCUCUGAACGGGUAGAAAUCGUAUCUAGAGUGUAGGCAUAAGGAAGCUUGACUGUGAGACCUACAAGUCGAGCAGGGACGAAAGUCGGUCUUAGUGAUCUGACGGUGCUGAGUGGAAAGGCCGUCACUCAACGGAUAAAAGUUACUCUAGGAUAACAGGCUGAUCUCCCCCAAGAGUUCACAUCGACGGGGAGGUUUGGCACCUCGAUGUCGGCUCAUCGCAUCCUGGGGGCGGUAGUACGUCCCAAGGGUUGGGCUGUUCGCCCAUGAAAGCGGUACGCGAGCUGGGUUCAGAACGUCGUGAGACAGUUCGGUCCAUAUCCGGUGUAGGCGUUAGAAUAUUGAGAGGAGCCUUCUUUAGUACGAGAGGACCGAGAAGGACAUACCUCUGGUGUACCAGUUAUCGUGCCAACGGUAAACGCUGGGUAGCUAUGUAUGGAGUGGAUAACCGCUGAAAGCAUCUAAGUGGGAAGCCCACCUCAAGAUAAG